rnacentral:rRNA from 1 species
AUUAGUUAAGAUCUUUAAACCCAAAGAAUUUGGCGGUAUCUUAAUCUGUUCAGAGGAACCUACCCCGUUAUUGAUAGUACACGAUUAACUUUACUUAAUUUAUUUGUUUGUAUAUCUCCGUUAUCAGAAAAUCUUUUUAGAGUUAUAAUUUUCUUAAUCUAUGAUUAUAAAAUAUUUCAGGUCAAGGUGCAGCUUAUGAUUAAGGGGAGGUGGGUUACAAUAAAUUUUUGUUUAUAUGGAUUUUAUAAUGAAACAUUAUUAAUGAAGGUGGAUUUGAUGGUAAAUUAAUUUAUUUAAUUUAAUUGAUAUUAGCUCUGAGGUGUGUACACAU